UACGAAGGGGGCUAGCGUUGCUCGGAAUCACUGGGCGUAAGGCGCACGUAGGCGGCUUCUUAAGUCAGGGGUGAAAUCCUGGAGCUCAACUCCAGAACUGCCUUUGAUACUGGGAGGCUCGAGUCCGGGAGAGGUGAGUGGAACUGCGAGUGUAGAGGUGAAAUUCGUAGAUAUUCGCAAGAACACCAGUGGCGAAGGCGGCUCACUGGCCCGGUACUGACGCUGAGGUGCGAAAGCGUGGGGAGCAAACAGG
rnacentral:rRNA from 1 species